UAGUUCCACUCUACGUUCACGCAAAAGAUGUUUGAAUGAAUGCUUGUACGCAAAUGACACACUUGAAGGUGGGGCUCUUUUAAUAUUUUCAGUGUGCACCUGCGCACUAUUUUUGUGCAACCCUGGCUAAUGAGACAAUACAUAUUUAGGGCAUUACCACAAAUGUACAAAGCACAGAUAGGCAUUCAGCACUAUAAAGUGUGCAAUAGUGAUCAACAUCAGAAUUGUGCAAAUGAUGCACAUGUGACAGAGCUCCAAUGGUGUCAGGGCUGCUGUUUCAGCACCCUGAGUCUCGCCCGUGUGUGUCUGUCUGUGUCUGUGCAUGUGUGUGUCAUGAGUGCUUUGCAGGGUUGAUGUGUUGGAGUCUAGCAGCUGCACCUUGUCAUCCUAAUUACACCUGACUGCUCUUAAGACGCUGUGGGAUUCCAACUCGUCGCCAGACUAUCAACACUACGUCGAGUUCGUAGCCUAGCCACCUUGCCUAUCUUUUUGGUUCCUGAAGACCUAGUGAGUUACCUCUACUCUAAUUCUUGUUGUUUGUUUGAGGCAGAUGUGCGAACAAGUCGUGGAACCAUCCUCGAUCCAACCCAACAAGUCAAUAUCCCAUAUAACGACUACUACAAUAACGUUAUGUUGCCGGCUGCUUCCGAUGCGUAUUAGGUAUGUGAACAUACCUCAAGCUCUCCCAGAAUGGAAAUCCCAAAAUGGACACCAGGCCGGAUACUGGCACAUCUGGUGGUGGUGGUGGUGGGCAUUCACAUUUCUCUUGGCUUGACUCCUGGGGCCUGCAUCUGAAGACGUGGAGAGAACCUUGUCAAGUAUCUCGGCAUUAACCAAGGCAAAAUUUCCAGUGUUUCCUCAGAUCUAACGGCGUCUGAUGAGACUUGACAAUGACCAUUAUUCAAAAGAUGAUGGGAGACUCGGAUCGGUUCAGAAACUGGCUUGAAACAAUUGUGUCUAGGAGUUCAAGAAAAAUUGGGUGCUUUUAUUGUUUGUAUUUUUAAACAUUUGCAAGUCACCAUCAUACUGGAAUAAAGAUUGUCUAUUCAGAGGGCCUGCAUCUUAGA